UACGUAGGGUGCAAGCGUUAAUCGGAAUUACUGGGCGUAAAGCGUGCGCAGGCGGUUUUGUAAGUCUGACGUGAAAUCCCCGGGCUCAACCUGGGAAUUGCGUUGGAGACUGCAAGGCUAGAAUCUGGCAGAGGGGGGUAGAAUUCCACGUGUAGCAGUGAAAUGCGUAGAGAUGUGGAGGAACACCGAUGGAGAAGGCAGCCCCCUGGGUCAAGAUUGACGCUCAUGCACGAAAGCGUGGGGAGCAAACAGG
rnacentral:rRNA from 1 species